UACGUAGGGUGCAAGCGUUGUCCGGAAUUAUUGGGCGUAAAGAGCUCGUAGGCGGUUUGUCGCGUCUGCUGUGAAAACUGGAGGCUCAACCUCCAGCCUGCAGUGGGUACGGGCAAACUAGAGUGCGGUAGGGGAGAUUGGAAUUCCUGGUGUAGCGGUGAAAUGCGCAGAUAUCAGGAGGAACACCGAUGGCGAAGGCAGAUCUCUGGGCCGUAACUGACGCUGAGGAGCGAAAGCAUGGGGAGCGAACAGG
rnacentral:rRNA from 1 species